rnacentral:rRNA from 1 species
AACGAACGCUGGCGGCAGGCAUAACACAUGCAAGUCGAGCGCCCCGCAAGGGGAGCGGCGGACGGGUGAGUAACGCGUGGGAACGUACCCUUUGCUACGGAAUAGCCUCGGGAAACUGGGAGUAAUACCGUAUGUGCCCUUCGGGGGAAAGAUUUAUCGGCAAAGGAUCGGCCCGCGUUGGAUUAGGUAGUUGGUGGGGUAAUGGCCUACCAAGCCGACGAUCCAUAGCUGGUUUGAGAGGAUGAUCAGCCACACUGGGACUGAGACACGGCCCAGACUCCUACGGGAGGCAGCAGUGGGGAAUCUUAGACAAUGGGCGCAAGCCUGAUCUAGCCAUGCCGCGUGAGCGAUGAAGGCCUUAGGGUUGUAAAGCUCUUUCAGUGGGGAAGAUAAUGACUGUACCCACAGAAGAAGCCCCGGCUAACUCCGUG